rnacentral:lncRNA from 1 species
CCCCGCCCCGCCCCGGGCCGGGUGACGUCACGCGCCGCAGCCUCUAGUGCGCCCAGGCGCCGGCUCCGAGCGCCGGGCGCGGUGGCGCGCGCCUGUAGUCCCAGCUACUCGGGAGGCUGAGGCUGGAGGAUCGCUUGAGCCCAGGAGUUCUGGGCUGCCGUGCGCUAUGCCGAUCGGGUGUCCGCACUAAGUUCGGCAUCAAUAUGGUGACCUCCCGGGAGCGGGGGACCACCAGGUCGGAAACGGAGCAGGUCAAAACUCCCGUGCUGAUCAGUAGUGGGAUCGCGCCUGUGAAUAGCCACUGCACUCCAGCCUGGGCAACAUAGCGAGACCCCGUCUCUUUUGUACCCUCGGGAAGGAAUUUUUGAACCCCCAGAAAAAGAAACAAAUGACCCUGUGAUCCUACCGUCUUUUCAUCGCCGGAACAUUUUACGUCCUUUUAAUUAAUUUUACACUCGGGGAAAGAAUUUUGCCUCAACUCAGCACUGACACCUACUGGGAUAAAUUUACAAAAUAACAAAAUCAGCUGUAAUAAUUAGGAGUCAACAGUAGGAGUUUCUGUUUGGUCAAACAGAAUCCGUUUUCAAAGUCUUUUCCUUUUUUAUUGACACACUCCUCAUAGAAGUACACCUACGUCAUUCCAUAAAAAUGAUGCGAGCCUUAGUGUGUUUGAUAUUUACAUGUAGUUGGUUGAGUUUAAAGUGAGAAACGAGUAAAUGUGCAACGUAUGUUGCUUUGACUAGGUGAUUGGUGACAAAACAACUAGUGAAAACCAAAUACCGUCUGAUAAUCUGCUGAAAGAUUUCUAAAUUCCACGUGGUCGUUUAUAAUGCCUCUAGAUAAACCUAGAACGUUAUAUGGAUCUGAAAUAAAAGCUUUAACUAUGAAAUGUACCACAAGGUGCAAUAAUCCAGGAAACUUUGACACGUGAACCCUUAUUUUAUAACUGAAAUACAACACUUCUGGAAGGUAAGUUACUUCAGGAUUCUGGUGGAGUGCCCCUCCCAGUCAUUAAAUUAGGCACUUUUUUACGUGAUGAAGGAAGGGGACAAGUCAGAUUAAAACACCAGAUAUGACUAGAGUCCUGCCCUUAAAACUUGCAUACGUAGUGAGGAAAACAAGAUGAACUCAAAGAGCCUUUCCUUCCAGUUUCAACUUUUGUCACUCAGUGACCUGUCUGCAACUAAAGCAGAACGUACGGUAUUCACAGAUGGAUGUGCUCGUGGAGUUCAAGAGGAGCAAAGAAGAG